UACCGAGUUUACAACUCCCAAACCCCUGUGAACAUACCUUAUGUUGCCUCGGCGGAUCAGCCCGCGCCCCGUAAAAAGGGACGGCCCGCCGCAGGAACCCUAAACUCUGUUUUUAGUGGAACUUCUGAGUAUAAAAAACAAAUAAAUCAAAACUUUCAACAACGGAUCUCUUGGUUCUGGCAUCGAUGAAGAACGCAGCAAAAUGCGAUAAGUAAUGUGAAUUGCAGAAUUCAGUGAAUCAUCGAAUCUUUGAACGCACAUUGCGCCCGCCAGUAUUCUGGCGGGCAUGCCUGUUCGAGCGUCAUUUCAACCCUCAAGCCCAGCUUGGUGUUGGGAGCUGCAGUCCUGCUGCACUCCCCAAAUACAUUGGCGGUCACGUCGAGCUUCCAUAGCGUAGUAAUUUACAUAUCGUUACUGGUAAUCGUCGCGGCCACGCCGUUAAACCCCAACUUCUGAAUGUUGACCUCGGAUCAGGUAGGAAUACCCGCUGAACUUAAGCAUA
rnacentral:rRNA from 1 species